AGGAAGGUAGUUAACUGAGAUAGUUACAUUAGGCAGUUGAUUAGCAGCUUAUGCAGAUUCUACGUUAAUUCUUGGUUAGCUUGAUUAGUUUAGCUAGCAGACAACCAACAGACAAAGAAAACAUUAGAUAAGGCUUAGCAAGUGAGUAGAGUCUGCUGCUAGGGUGGCUGUGAAGGGACUGCACAAGCUAGAUUAGGAAUAAUGACUGUGUAGGGGCCAACUAGGAGGUGAUGCAAUUAACAGUA
rnacentral:lncRNA from 1 species